GGCUCUGCCUGCCCCCGCCUGGGGCGCCACACCCUGGGUCCCCUGCUCCUGGGGCUCAUCACAGCUCUGCGCGCCCCCGACCCGGGGCUUCCAGGUCUUUCUCCACCUGCUGGAGAAGCUGCCCCUCAGAUCAGCCAGGCUGGCGGAAGUGGAGCGUCCCCAGGGUGGCUCCCCUCAGGUGUGACCCCCCUCAGGUGUGACCCCCUUCAGGCAUUGCUCCCCCAGGUGUGACUCUCUCAGGUGUGACCCCCCCCCCAGGCAUUGCUCCCCUCAGUCGUGACUCUCCUCAGGUGAGACUUCUCUCAGGUAUGAACUCCCUCUGGUGUUGCUCCCCUCAGGUGUGACUCCUUCAGGUGUGACCCCCCUCAGAAGUGACCCCCCUCAGGUGUGAGUCCCCUCAGGUGUGACUCCCCUCAGGUGUGACCUCCUCAGGUGUGACUCUCUCAGGUGUGACCCCCCUGAGGCAUUGCUCCCCUCAGUCGUGACUCUCCUCAGGUGAGACUCCUCUCAGGUAUGAACUCCCUCAGGUGUUGCUCCCCUCAGGUGUGACUCCUUCAGGUGUAACCCCCUCAGGAGUGACUCCCCUCAGGUGUGACUCCCCUCAGGUGUGACUCCCCUCGGGUGUGACUUCCUCAGAUGUGACUCCCUCAGGUGUGACUCCCUCAGGUGUGACUCCCCUCAGAUGUGACUCCCUCAGGUGUAACCCCCUCAGUUGUGACUCCCCUCAGGUGUGACUCCCCUCAGGUGUGACUCCCCUCAGGUGUGACUCCCCUCUGGUGUGACUCCCCUCAGGUGUGACUCCCUCAGGUAUGACCCCCUCAGGUGUGACUCCCCUCAGGUGUGACUCCCUCAGGUGUGACUUCCUCAGGUGUAACCCCCUCAGGUGUGACCCCCCUCAGGUGUGACUCCCUCAGGUGUGAGUCCCCUCAGGUGUCAGAUGUGACUCCCUCAGGUGUAACCGCCUCAGGUGUGACUCCCCUUAGGUGUGACUCCCCUCAGGUGUGAGUCCCCUCAGGUGUGCCGGGUGGCAGGGCAGGUCCUGAGCUUGCCACUUGCUUCGUUUCAAGAUGCCCUCCUUUCUGGUGCUGGCGGAGCCCAGGUCCUGGCGCUGCCCCUGAGCCCUGCUGCAGCCCAGACUUGGUCCACACCCGAGUGCCCUCCCUGCCCCAGGACCCCGUGGUUGUGGGUGGACGGAGCCCGAGCUGCUGCAGGCCAGGCCUGGUUGCCACACCUGAGCACGCGGGAUGGGCCUUUGAUGGGGCACAGAGACACUCAGGCGGCCUCUUGGGCACACAGUUGCACCCAGGCUCCCAGCGCAGGUGUUUACUUAUUGAGUCCUACUGCGUGCCAGGCUCUUCUGGUGCGGGACAUGGAAUGGACCAGACAGAUGGCAGUUGUUCCCUGUGUCCCAGGGCCUGUGCUUCGGUGGGGCAGAAGUGGGGUCCCUGGACCUGCGUCAGGGGGUCCCCAUCCUGAGUGCACACAGUGGGGCGCUGGGAAGCUGUGGCUGUGAAGGGGCGGUCAGCAGGGCUCCCCUGUGGAGGUGGCACUGCAGCAGGGACCCCAGGAGGUGGCAGGGGAGCCACAGGGAAGCACCUGCCACGCCUCUUGUUUGGAACCCUUGACAUCCAAAGACUUGGAUGUCACUGUCUCAUUCCACAGAGAGGGACUGAGGCACAGAGAGGGUAAGAGGCUGGCUCAGGGUUGCUCAGCAGAUUUGCUCUCACUCCCUGCCCCAAAGCCUGUGCUCCGGGGCCACGCAUGCCACAUUUCUCUCAUGGCCAGCUGGAAUCCCAACCCUGUCCUUCCACCGGGCGGCCCUGCAGCCUCCUACACUUUGGAAGGGGGCAGGCAUGUUACCAAGAGAAAGGCCGCCCAUCUGCAGAGGUGGGGUCAGCCGUGAGGACAGUGAGAGAGGACAGAGAGGUUGGGCCACUGUGCAGGGAUGCACAGCGCAUGGAUGGGCCGGGAGGUGGGGGAGUGGCUUGGUCUUGUGGAUGCGGGGCCUGGGCACCCAGGGAGCCCCCGGCAGCUCUUCCUUCCUCUC